rnacentral:ncRNA from 1 species
AAAAGGUUUGGUCCUGGCCUUAUAGUUAGUUAAAGGAAAAAUUACACAUGCAAAUCUCCUUAAACCAGUGCCUAAUCCCUUAUAAAUUUACUCAGAAAUUUCAAGGAGAGGAUAUCAAGCACAUGUAUAUAUUAAUUUACAUAGCUCAAGACAUCUUGCCAAGCCACACCCCCACGGGACUCAGCAGUGAUAAAAAUUUAGCAAUAAACGAAAGUUUGACUAAGUUAUUCCUUCAAGGGUUGGUAAAUUUCGUGCCAGCCACCGCGGUCAUACGAUUAACCCGAAUUAACUACUUCCGGCGUAAAACGUGUUUAUGGAUACAAUAAUAACACUAAUAGAAUUAAAAUCCAAUUUAUAUGUGAAAAUUCAUUGUUGGACUUAAAAUCAAUAACGAAAGUAAUUCUAGAAGCCCUAAAACACGAAAACUAAGAUCCAAACUGGGAUUAGAUACCCCACUAUGCUUAGCCGUAAACUUGAAUAAUUAUUUAACAAAAUUAUUUGCCAGAGAACUACUAGCCACAGCUUAAAACUCAAAGGACUUGGCGGUACUUUACAUCCGUCUAGAGGAGCCUGUUCUAUAAUCGAUACACCCCGCUUUACCUCACCGUCUCUUGCUAAUUCAGCCUAUAUACCGCCAUCUUCAGCAAACCCUAAAAAGGAAUGACAGUAAGCAAAAGAAUAACCAUAAAAACGUUAGGUCAAGGUGUAGCCUAUGAGACGGAAAGUAAUGGGCUACAUUUUCUUAAAAAGAACAUUUACGUUACCCUCCAUGAAAUGGGAGGACAAAGGAGGAUUUAGUAGUAAAUUAAGAAUAGAGAGCUUAAUUGAAUAGAGCAAUGAAGUACGCACACACCGCCCGUCACCCUCCUCAAAUUAGCCAAAUGAAAAUCACACUUACAUAAGCCCAAUCAAAGGCUAUGAGAGGAGAUAAGUCGUAACAAGGUAAGCAUACUGGAAAGUGUGCUUGGA